UCCAGACUCCUACGGGAGGCAGCAGUGGGGAAUAUUGCACAAUGGGGGAAACCCUGAUGCAGCAACGCCGCGUGAGUGAAGAAGUAUUUCGGUAUGUAAAGCUCUAUCAGCAGGGAAGAAAAUGACGGUACCUGAGUAAGAAGCCCCGGCUAACUACGUGCCAGCAGCCGCGGUAAUACGUAGGGGGCAAGCGUUAUCCGGAAUCACUGGGUGUAAAGGGAGCGUAGACGGCUGUGCAAGCCUGAAGUGAAAGGCGGGGGCCCAACCCCUGGACUGCUUUGGGAACUGUACGGCUGGAGUGCAGGAGAGGUAAGUGGAAUUCCUAGUGUAGCGGUGAAAUGCGUAGAUAUUAGGAGGAACACCAGUGGCGAAGGCGGCUUACUGGGCUGUAACUGACGUUGAGGCUCGAAAGCGUGGGGAGCAAACAGGAUUAGAUACCCCAGUA
rnacentral:rRNA from 1 species